AGUGAACGCUGGCGGUAGGCCUAACACAUGCAAGUCGAACGGCAGCACAGUAAGAGCUUGCUCUUACGGGUGGCGAGUGGCGGACGGGUGAGGAAUACAUCGGAAUCUACUUUUUCGGGGGUAAUAACGUAGGAAAACUUAUGCUACCACCGCAUAUAACCAACGGCUGAAAUCAGGGGUUCUUGGCACCUUUCGCGUUUGAUUGAGCUGAUGCCGGAUUAGCUAGUUGGCGGGGUAAGGGCCCACCAAGGCGACGAUCCGUAGCUGGUCUGAGAGGAUGAUCAGCCACACUGGAACUGAGACACGGUCCAGACUCCUACGGGAGGCAGUAGUGGGGAAUAUUGGGCAAUGGGCGCAAGCCUGAUCCAGCAAUACUGCGUGGGUGAAGAAGGCCUUCGGGUUGUAAAGCCCUGUUGUUGGGAAAGAAAAGCAGCAGAUUAAUACCCCGCUGUUCUGACGGUACCCAAAGAAUAAGCACCGGCUAACUUCGUG
rnacentral:rRNA from 1 species